UUUUUUUGGUUUUUUUUUUUUUAGUAGGUUAAUUAUUCCACCUACCCCAUAAAGGCAUACCAUUUCUUAAAGAAGACACCCUAGGGUAUUUCAAAAGACAUAUAUUGAACCUUACCGUGGGAUCAUUUUUCUGCUAGCUUGUAUCAAGUGUAGUGGUAAUUUUUUAUGCCUUUUUGACACACACAGUGAGUUUGUAAUAUAUAUUUUGCAAACCGUAUGUGUGCUACAGCAGUAUAAUACAUCACAUGUUGCUCAGCUAUGUCAUCUGAGUACAGCAAUACCCCCAUAUGUACCUUUACCAGGCAUAUGAUAACGUUGAUGGGGCACAUUUGAGACACAGCCAUUUAAGUUUGAAUUUUUAUGCUGGG